rnacentral:rRNA from 1 species
GACAGAGGGUGCAAACGUUGUUCGGAAUUACUGGGCGUGAAGCGCGUGUAGGCUGCUCAGAAAGUCGGAUGUGAAAGCCCUGGGCUUAACCUAGGAAGUGCAUUCGAAACUUCUGAGCUUGAGUUCUGGAGAGGAAGGCGGAAUUCUCGGUGUAGAGGUGAAAUUCGUAGAUAUCGAGAGGAACACCGGUGGCGAAGGCGGCCUUCUGGACAGUGACUGACGCUGAGACGCGAAAGCGUGGGGAGCAAACAGG